CUAGGGUUUUUGACACCAAAACCACUUCUUUCAACAAAAUUUAGAGGUACACUUUACUUGUAUAUUAUAAGAUGGGCAUCUUAUAUAUAUCUCACCCUUAAACGAAUGAAAAGAAUGCCAUUGGAGUAGCAAUGGUGAUUUACUAUAUAAUUUUUGGAUAAUAAAUUUGAACAAAUUUGGUUCUUGAACGAGGAAGAUAAAACAUGACACAAUAAUGCCUCGUACCAAGAAGUGAUCCAAUGCAACGGUUUUCUUAGAAAUGGUUUGUUAGCACAGAGUUAUCCAUUAGAUUAAAUUAAAUCCAAUGGUUGAAAUUAAUACGUAAAUAUUCCCUUUUCAAAAUUUGAAUUCAAAUUGAAAACCUGGAAACCUCCAAAUCUUCUCGAUUAUCAUGAUUUCCCUCUUUCCCGCUUUACUGGAUAUCAAGCCUCUCAUCUUCUCUCUACAACGACAAAGCGCGCGCUCUCUCUCUCUCUCUGACCACCAGAAGCACUCUCUCUGACCACUUAAGGAUCUUCUAGGUUAGACCCUCUCUCUCUCAUUUCUAUUUUUUUUUUCCCUCUUGUUACAUGUGGGGAGCAGCAAGGUGCAAAACUAGUUCUACAAAUCGUUCUUAUUGUUUGAGCAUGCAAAUAACCUGCAAAUAGAUCAAUGGACCUAUGAAGAUUGAAGAACUUUGGGCAUCUGCAAAUAAACAACGACUCAAAGCCUCCCUCCAUCUCAAUCCCAAUUAAAGCCAAAAUCUUCUCUCCAUCUCAAUCCCCAUCAAGAUUGCAGGAAAUGAAUCCCCAAUUCAAAUCAGGGGCUGAUUGCUGCAAGCUUGUAGAACAUUGUCAACUAUGUUCAAGCAGUUAACAACAACCGAAUUGAUUUUGAGAAUUAGUUACCAAGAAUCAAUUGGUAACUGAAGAAGUUUUACUUUUUAAGUAUUUGAAAGCAAAAACACAAAUUAUGGGAGGCCAGUGAUCCACAAGCCCGCGAAGGCACAAAUCUUCACAGUUUGGUUGUGCAUCUUCCUCGUCAUGGGGUUGUAUGGAGUAUAAUAAAGGAAUACGAUUAGAAACUCAGAGGGAUAGUUAUAAUCGACACAAAGGAGUGGAACCCCAAAUUAGACGUCCACAUCCAAUCUGAUGGCUACACCAAUCUGGACACUCUAAUUUGUAACAUGCAAAUAAUCAUACCAGUUGCAAUUGGUUUGAGAGUUCAUUGGAGUUGAAGUUCAUCGUAAUUGGAUUAUCCAGUACUUUACAAUUUCAAUACCAUUUUUGUACUCUGUUUCCUAGACUUUGAGAAACUGAUCAAGCUCCCAUAGUUUUAAUUUUACA